ACCGCCCGUCCACACCAUGAGAGUUGGGAAUACCCGAAGCCUGUGAGCUAACCGCAAGGGAGCAGCAGUCGAAGGUAGAAUCAAUGAUUGGGGUGAAGUCGUAACAAGGUAAC
rnacentral:rRNA from 1 species